CCAAUAGCGUAUAUUAAAGUUGUUGCAGUUAAAAAGCUCGUAGUUGAAUUUCGAGACCGGUCUACUGGUCGUGCUUUUGUACGUACUGGUUUUAUCGGUUUCUCCUUUCUGACGAACUAUAAUGCCAUUAAUUUGGUGUUAUAGGGAAUCAGGACUGUUACUUUGAAAAAAUUAGAGUGUUUAAAGCAGGCUCACGCUUGAAUACAUUAGCAUGGAAUAACGGAAUAGGACGUUUGAUUCUAUUUUGUUGGUUUCUAGGAUCGACGUAAUGAUUAAUAGGGAUAGUGGGGGGCAUUAGUAUUCAAUUGUCAGAGGUGAAAUUCUUUGAUUUAUUGAAGACUAACUACUGCGAAAGCAUUUGCCAAGGAUGUUUUCAUUAAUCAAGAACGAAAGUUAGGGGAUCGAAGACGAUCAGAUACCGUCGUAGUCUUAACCAUAAACUAUGCCGACUAGGGAUCGGAUGAUGUUAAUUUUUUAAUGACUCAUUCGGCGCCUUACG
rnacentral:rRNA from 1 species